ACGCUCGACACCUACUGGAGGCAGCAGUGGGGAAUAUUGCACAAUGGGGGAAACCCUGAUGCAGCAACGCCGCGUGAAGGAAGACGGUUUUCGGAUUGUAAACUUCUGUUCUUAGUGAAGAUAGUGACGGUAGCUAAGGAGCAAGCCACGGCUAACUACGUGCCAACAGCCGCGGUAAUCUGAGCGGGCUGGCAAGGC
rnacentral:rRNA from 1 species